rnacentral:tRNA from 1 species
GCCUCUAUAGCUCAGUGGUAGAGCGUUGGUCUUGUAAAUCAAAUAGUCUUGUACAAAGGCGUUGAUCUUGUUAACCAAAGGUCGCAGGAUCGAUCCCUGCUGGAGGCA